AUAUAGCCUAUACUGCUGAAAAUGUUCCUACAUCGUAUACAUAAUCAACCCAACAGCGCCCUUACACUGUACGGGCGUUUCGCUACAAACCAAUAAAAAACAAUUGAAUUUGUGAGUGCCGGCUGAUCACUGGGCUAAGGUGAAAUGCAGAGACAAAUGUCUCGUUAUUUCAGCGAAAAACUACCUGGUUCUGUGGCAUCGAGCGAGAGUGAUUAUCUGAAUCAUGUGUUGAUACUAACGCUGGCAUUUUCUAUGCAGAUGACUAGACUUGCUUGCUUUCCAUCUGCUUUAAAUGAAUUUUUCGUGCAAAAUAGUCAUCCUCUGGAGAAAAAGCAUUUACUUAUAAAAUCAGUCGAAGUAGAAUAUCGUAACUGGACAUCGAUGUCAAAUGGCUACGACAAUGAAUCAUAUUAUGUGGCCUAGAGCAAGAUCACUUUUCCUUUGUUUACGUGUCAAUAUGAUUUGGGACCGUCAAUACAGUGGCAUAUAUGUAUAAUCUUGGAGGGCAUUAGCGCACGCGCCUUUUCAGCACCGACUGUUUCUUCAAUGAAUUCCCCAAUACACCUGAAACUUAGUUGCCAAUCACGCCCUCAAUAGUAGCAGGUAAUGUGGUGGGUGCUGUUGCGAAGGGUUAUUCAUUGACACCACCAAAAGAGAUACAA